CUGAGAAUUGUGUUACAGUGGAAACAGAGGGUGGAGUUGAUUACGUUUUAAGCCAGGUGAUGAGGGCAGUAAGCAAUUUGAGAAUUUUCACAAAUAUCAUAAAGGAGAGGCAAGGAUAACUGGCACUUUAAGGCAAAACUAAACUGUGGUAAAAGCAAAAGGUGAAGUACCUCAAGCAGUUGGUGCUUCAUCUGUGUGUUUGCAGUGCUGAUAGAUAAAGUGUUUCUGCAGCUCACAGGUGUUGUUGGUGGUUCUGUUGUUCUGCCGUGUUCAGCUGAACAUGAUCAUGAACUUCAAGACACUGAAGUGUUCUGGAGACACAAUAAUAGCAAGAUUGUGCAUGAUAUAAUUAAAGGCAGUCAAACAGAGACACAGGACUCACUGUACAAAAACAGAAUUGAAAGUUUCCCUGAUGAGUGUCCGAGAGGAAACUUCUCCAUCAAACUCAACGAUCUCACUCACGCUCACGCAGGAAAAUACAUCUGCUACAUCACAAGCUCAUCUGAUUCUCAACAGAAGACUGUACAGCUGAUCAUCAACGAAUCAACUGAAAAAGGAAACAAAACCAAUGAUCAAGAAAACCCAAACCAAGAAGAAACGGUACCAAAUAUAGUGACAUCAUCGUGUUUUCAACAGGUUAUCAUUGUAUCAUCUGUAUUAUUAUCAUUAUUAUUAUAAAUCGUGCUUAUUGUCUGUUUAAUCAGAUUUUACUCGUGAGAGAAAAAAAGCUCCUUUAUUCACUUCAGCCAUGAUUAAAGAACAAACAACAGUGUAAACAGGUCUAAAAAUUUCACUUCACACGUUCUCUGAAUCUUUCAUUGGUUCCUUCAAGUGUAAAAUAAGCUGCAGUAUGAGACAGUGUUUUUUGUUUGUUUUUGGCAUGUACACUGCUUUGUUUUUUAUUGUAUAACAGAAUAAUAUCUUGAAAAACUGAGAUCUUUAAACUUUUUUUUUUAUAGUUCAGUGAUGGCUGAAUCGGUCAGUAUGUUGCUGCCUUAACAUUUCUGUACCACAAGUGCUCUUUUUGGUUGUGUUUGCCAGAAUAAAUGUAUUUUGUAUUCUUUAUGUAUUAUUUUAUAUUUGUUAAAUUGUUGCUGCACAUCAUGUAAAGGGUGCAGAAAAUAAAACAGAUAAUCACGGUGCUCAAGUUUGAGAUCUGUUACACAGCUUUGCAGACUGAUGUCAGAAGAGCACAACAUGAUGUCUUUAUUUGCAUCCUUGAAUGAAUUUGCUUCAUAUGCACUAUUCAAGGUUGAUCUACAAGGUUAUAUCUACAAGUUAUAAUACAUUUGUUUAUGAAAUUGCAUGAGCAUCAUGAGAGUGUGAAAAGAUGCUGCCUUUUGCCUUUAAAUCUUUAAAGUUUCUCAGGAACAGUCAGAGCAACUGUGAGAAACUUGUGAUUCAUUGUAUGUGGAUGAUUUCAGUGUUCAAGACUCAAAUUGUGCAGAUGAAAUAAUGCAUCUAUUGUGUUCACAUGUUCAUAUUUCUAAAAUAAACCAAUUCUUGUAGAGCA